rnacentral:rRNA from 1 species
UACGUAGGGUGCAAGCGUUGUCCGGAAUUAUUGGGCGUAAAGAGCUCGUAGGCGGUCUGUCGCGUCUGCUGUGAAAACUCGAGGCUCAACCUCGAGAUGUCGGUGGAAACCGUCUGGCUAGAGUCCGGAAGAGGAGAGUGGAAUUCCCGGUGUAGCGGUGAAAUGCGCAGAUAUCGGGAAGAACACCCGUGGCGAAGGCGGCUCUCUGGGACGGUACUGACGCUGAGACGCGAAAGCGUGGGGAGCGAACAGG